rnacentral:rRNA from 1 species
CCUACGGGAGGCAGCAGUGAGGAAUAUUGCCCAAUGGACGCAAGUCUGAGGCAGCAGCGCCGCGUGGGCGAUGAAGGCCUUCGGGUUGUAAAGCCCUUUUCUGGGGGACGAGAAAGGACGGUACCCCAGGAAUAAGUCACGGCUAACUACGUGCCAGCAGCCGCGGUAAUACGUAGGUGGCGAGCGUUAUCCGGAUUCACUGGGCGUAAAGCGCGUGCAGGCGGUUCUGUAAGUCGGACGUGAAAGCUCCUGGCUUAACUGGGAGAGGCCGUUCGAUACUGCGGGGCUUGAGGUCGGGAGAGGGACGUGGAAUUCCCGGUGUAGUGGUGGAAUGCGUAGAUAUCGGGAGGAACACCAGUGGCGAAGGCGGCGUCCUGGCCCGCACCUGACGCUAAGACGCGAAAGCGUGGGGAGCGAACGGGAUUAGAUACCCCGGUAGUCCACGCCGUAAACGGUGGAUACUAGGUGUUGGUGACUAUCGUCAUCAGUGCCGUAGCUAACGCGUUAAGUAUCCCGCCUGGGGACUACGGCCGCAAGGCUAAAACUCAAAUGAAUUGACGG